AUGGGUUAGUCGAUCCUAAGAGAGAGGGAUGUUCCGCAUAUGUAAGCAUUGCUUCGCUCCUCGAAAGGGAAUGGGGUUAACCUCCCCCAACCAGGACGUGGAUACUGUACGGCAACGUUAGAGAAUUCGGCGACGCAGGAGGGAGCCCUGGGAAGCGUUGUCUUUUCUUUUUAACCGCUUUUUACCCUGGAAUCAGAUUAUCUGGAGAUAGGGUUAAAUAGCGGGUAAAGCACCUUGUCUUCCGAGGUGUCCGGUGCGUUCUCGACUGCCCUUGAAAAGCCGAAGGACAGACUUAUUCACACCCCUGGUCGUACCCAUAACCGCAUCAGGUCUCCAAG
rnacentral:rRNA from 1 species